UACGGAGGGGGCUAGCGUUGUUCGGAAUUACUGGGCGUAAGGCGCACGUAGGCGGAUUGGAAAGUUGGGGGUGAAAUCCCGGGGCUCAACCCCGGAACUGCCUUCAAAACUCCCAGUCUGGAGGUCGAGAGAGGUGAGUGGAAUUCCGAGUGUAGAGGUGAAAUUCGUAGAUAUUCGGAGGAACACCAGUGGCGAAGGCGGCUCACUGGCUCGAUACUGACGCUGAGGUGCGAAAGCGUGGGGAGCAAACAGG
rnacentral:rRNA from 1 species